rnacentral:rRNA from 1 species
UACGUAGGGUGCGAGCGUUGUCCGGAAUUAUUGGGCGUAAAGAGCUCGUAGGCGGUGUGUCGCGUCGGUCGUGAAAACUUGGGGCUUAACCCUGAGCUUGCGGUCGAUACGGGCAUCACUGGAGUUCGGCAGGGGAGACUGGAAUUCCUGGUGUAGCGGUGAAAUGCGCAGAUAUCAGGAGGAACACCGGUGGCGAAGGCGGGUCUCUGGGCCGAUACUGACGCUGAGGAGCGAAAGCGUGGGGGGCAAACAGG